GGCCUGGUGGUGUAAUCGGUAACACAUCUCCUAAAUUUGAAUAAGCUGUUUCCGAAGUUUUAUGGAGAACCUUCCCGUUCGACUCGGGGUCAGGCCA